ACCACCGGAGCGGCGGGAGCCCGCGCCUCCCCGCCCCGGCGCAGUGGAGAGGGCCGGGCAGCGGGGCGGCGCUGUUCGGGUUUGCUCGCACACGGGGAGAAAGUGCACAAGAAACACAAACCAGAAGACAAGGAGGCUGCAGCCAUCAGCAGAAUCUACAGUUUGACACGAUAAGAGCAGUUAACAGCCUGGCUAUGGGAAGACAGAGAAAGAAUCCAAUAAGGUGUUAGAAGAUCCCAGCCCAAAAAUCACCAUUGGACUUGAAAUCGCGUGAAGAGUGCAUGAGGGCAGAUUCUGCUGCAGAAAACCAGGAUAGAGCCUGAAGGAGGAAGUGCACCUGAGAAUGAGCACGUGUGCAAGCAUUUGGAAGGGAGCCCAUCAGCCCCACUGAGAACAGACUCCAGUCCUAGCAAGGGAAGCCUGGGUGGUGUGUGUGACACUCCUUGAAUGAUAUUGUUCAGAAAUGCCUGUUUUCUUUCUUUUAGCUGAACUGGCAGAAUAAGAAGAAAUGUUGCACCUUGUCCUCCUGGUUAUUGACCCGGAUCUAUGAAGAUUUCUGUGCCUUAAUCAAUGCAAACAUAACACAAAUAAAAUGAUCAUUUAACAGUGA